UACGUAGGGGGCUAGCGUUGUCCGGAUUUAUUGGCGUAAAGAGCGUGUAGGCGGCCAGUAGGUCUGCUGUGAAAACUCGAGGCUCAACCUCGAGACGUCGGCGGAAACAUCUGGCUAGAGUCCGGAAGAGGAGAGUGGAAUUCCUGGUGUAGCGGUGAAAUGCGCAGAUAUCAGGAAGAACACCCGUGGCGAAGGCGGCUCCUCUGGGACGGUACGUGACGCUGAAGACGCGGAAAGCGUGGGGAGCAACAGG
rnacentral:rRNA from 1 species